GGCUGCGUAGUGUAGCGGUUAUCACUUCAGAUUCUGAGAACACUUUGAAUUCUGGCGACCCCGGUUCGAUUCCGGGCGCGGCCU